rnacentral:rRNA from 1 species
UACGUAGGGGGCGAGCGUUGUCCGGAAUUACUGGGCGUAAAGAGCUUGUAGGCGGUUUGUCGCGUCUUCUGUGAAAACUCACAGCUCAACUGUGAGCUUGCAGGGGAUACGGGCAGACUAGAGUACUUCAGGGGAGACUGGAAUUCCUGGUGUAGCGGUGAAAUGCGCAGAUAUCAGGAGGAACACCGGUGGCGAAGGCGGGUCUCUGGGAAGUAACUGACGCUGAGAAGCGAAAGCGUGGGUAGCGAACAGG